ensembl:lncRNA
GUUACAGUAAGGUACUGCUCUCCUCUGCCUCCCAUCUCAGACCUCUGGCUUCCCUGAAUGUGCACAGCCCCUUUGAAAAAACAUUUGAAGUUACAGUGAUGUUGCAUUCCUGUCCUUGGGAGAAUAUGUGAUUCUGAGAUGUUUUUCUUGCCCCGAACUAGAAUUAAGAAGGUCCGAUCACAAAAGAAUGAUCAUCAAUCAUGAUCAUGAUAGGACAAAGGGGAAUGGUUUUAAACUGGGACAGGGGAGGUUUAGGUUGGAUAUCAGGAGGAAGUUUUUUCACUCAGAGGGUGGUGAUGCACUGGAACAGGUUGCCCAAGAAGGCUGUGGAUGCCCCAUCCCUGGAGGCAUUCAAGGCCAGGCUGGAUGUGGCUCUGGGCAGCCUGGUCUGGUGGUUGGUGACCCUGCACAUAGCAGGGGGUUGGAACUCAAUGAUCACUGCAGUCCUUUUCAACCCAGGGCAUUCUGUGAUUCUAUGAUAGGAAAUAAGAACAGGAAUGCCAUGCUUUGGAAGCGCUUAGGCAAAGUGGUCUUAGGUCCAGGGGCUUUCCUUUCUCCUCAGCACAGGAAACAAAUGGCAAAUCUCCAGCAAAUUCAUAAGUGGCUUAGUGUCACAAAAUCACGGAAUUAAAAGAAUUAAUUGGAAGCCACCUACAAAUGCUUUGGCCUCUUCUAACUCUC